AAUGCUUUCGUUUUUCUUAAUACUUUGUCCGUACACAGAGAGCGUUCGACACGAUGUCGAACGCAGUUGCCCCUGAGCCAGGACGGCGAAUGGGCAACGGUCUCGUACGGUUGCAAAGUAUAAAUCAAAGUAUUUAGAAAAACAAGCAUUCGUAG
rnacentral:ncRNA from 1 species